UACCAAGACACCAGAUGCAGAGCUGGGUGAGAAUGUCUUGGACAAGCAGGGACCACCGUUGUUAGCGCAGAGCCCACCCUGGGGGAUGUGGCUGGGGAGGGCUUCUGGGGAGGUCUUUCAGAACCAAAGGGCUAUAGAUUGUGUCUGUCCCCUAGUAGGCAAGGGAGGGCUCUGAUGUCACAAUGGGCUGUCAGCCACAGAAGCCUGGGCACACUGUGGCCAGUGCGGGGAGCCUACUUGGGACUGAAGCUUACGGUGCCCCUGCUGCCUGGGGGUGUGGUGGAUGUGUGCGUGCUGGGUGUGUCCCAGGCCGGUUGUGCUCCCAGUAGGGUCUGCCCAGCUUCAGCAGAGCCAGGAGCCUUUUCCCCAGGCCCUGACCACGUGUUUGCCCUCCUGGUGGGCAGUAUCUCCUCGGGCACCGUUGCUGCCCCCAGGAUUCAGGCACCACGCCUGGCUCUGUCAGGAGCGGGAACCCCGGCUGCUCUGCAGUGCUUGCGUUGCUGGCCAGGAAGCUGGGCGGUCAGGUGCAGCCAAUGCCCUCUCCACUCAGGACAUUUUCGACUUGUGAUUGCUCUGUCUGGAUGAGACCAUCGUAAGCUGAGGAUCCUCUAUAAAGCUGCUGACAAUUUUGAUACCACGAACUGUGACAUAGGCUCCGAUCCACUUUGGGAACUCUGAGAUUUACUCUGUAGAGAAGAGGAUUCACCCUGUCUGUUCUUCCCUACAAUGAUAGACCAACAUCCACUAGAGUAACCUUGCAAAUCUAGCAUAAGGCAAGCGAGUUUUCCAACAAAGACCAAAGUAAAGAAGGAGAACUUGGGGAAGUCCUCCUCGCAGAUGGGGUAGGAGAAGUUCAGAACAGACACGCCUUUGGAGACGAGAGUUACGUCCAGAAACAGCUGUCGGAUGUCUUCUCCUGCAGGAAAGAGAGAAGCAGCUGUACUCUGAGCGCACGCCACGCUGCAGCUACCAGCAGUCAACCACGAGCCAAAAAUGGUGAUGGAAAAUUCCACAAAGAAACAGGUAACAGGUUCAAAUUGCACACCAUUCGGAGGGGUACGAUGAAAUCCUGCACUGACCUCCCCUGUCCUGCCCUGCGUCCAGCGUCCUCACACGGGCGCUCUACCUGCUUGCUCAUCGCCCAGCAUUCACCGUGGGCAUCAGAUCCACCGUUGUGCAUGGCAGCACUCAUGUUCCAAUAACCCGACUUUUACUUCAUGAUGACCCCGAAGUGCGAGAGCACUUCAGACACGCCAGAGAGAAGCUGAAAGGGCUUCCUUGAAGUGACACGUGCAGGUGCAGUAAGAUGCUUUGAGAAAGUGUACAUUCAUAUAAGCGUCAUUACAAUAUACUGUUAUAAUCACUAUUUGAUUACUGUUGCUAAUCUCUUACUAUGUGUAACUGAUACAUUAUACUUUAUCAUAGGCACAUAUGUUUAGGAAAGAACACAGCAUGUGUGGGACUUGCUACUGUCUGUUUUGGGGCAUCUUCUGGCAGUCUUGGAAGUUGUCCCCCACAGGUUGGUGGGACAGCAGAAACCAUGUGACCUGAAGUGGCAGUGAAGACGAGCUCUUGUCCAAAGUGCCUUGCCAAUGCCUCCACAGAAAUGAUGGCCCACUUGAGGCAGUUACACUUGAUGCUUAGUGUCUUGGGAACACAUCAGCAAGGGACACCAGGUCCAUGAUCUUACUGUCUGCUGCCAGGGGUCUCCAGGAUUCCACAUGGCACAGAGGGCACACUAGAGGCUGUCUGUGGGAGACAGUGCGUCUUAGUGGCUUGAGGACAGGAAGAGCACCUACUCCCUCACUCACUUUACUGAGUACCUGCCAUGUGGUAGGAAGAGGGUUGGGCCUGGUCAGCAACAAGGAAGCAAAAUCAGAAAGUGCCUCUGCUCUCAUCCUUGUUCUAACAGGUCGAGCGUCUUUUUUGAAUUAAUCAAAAGCCCAGAAACUGCCAUGCUGCAAAGUCUGAAACUGAGCACCAACACGAUGUCACAAGUGGCCAUUUCACAUCAUGGAGCUUUGUUUCAUGCACAACAUUAUUAAGACUAUUAUAUAAAAUUGCCCUCGGGGUAUGCGUAUAAGGCA